rnacentral:snRNA from 1 species
AUACUUACCUGGCAGGGGAGAUACCAUGAUCACGAAGGUGGUUUUCCCAGGGCGAGGCUUAUCCAUUGCACUCCGGAUGUGCUGACCCCUGCGAUUUCCCCAAAUGUGGGAAACUCGACUGCAUAAUUUGUGGUAGUGGGGACUGCGUUCGCGCUUUCCCUG